UCUUUUUUUCUUUUUUUCUUUUUUUAACAACCCAGACUGUUAAUUGCCAAAUAGCCAAGGCAGUAUUUUAUUUUCUAAUUAUGACCAUGUGGUUCUUUGAGAAGUUUCAAAGAAAAGGCUAGCCUCUCUUGAGAUCCCCGCGGUGUGUUUUAAAGAUAAUGACAGGUUGCUCCUGCUUACACCCUUUGGCACUUAUGAAUGGACUGGAGAGAAGGGGGCUCGUUGGACCCGAGGUGUUUGAGUGCGCGCGUGUGUGCAUGUGUUUAUGUUACAACCGCCUUAUUGAAGUGCUGUGGAUCCCGCCGGGCGAUGCUGUGCUCAGCGAUACAGGUUCUCAUGGGUAGCAUAUGCAUGCCACAUUAUUAACAGCAGUGAUGGUUCAAGGGAUAUACAGUGAGCUUAAGUUGGGUUCUUUUGUAAAAAGGCCUUUCAUACACAUAGAAGGAUGCAUUUAAUGAUUGAUUGAUAAUUAGCUCCUGGGUAGAUACAGUAAAUAACAGACUAGCAAAUUAGAAAGAACACUCAUGGAAAGCUAACGGCAUUUCCUUGAUGCUGGAUUAAUUAUUGUCAGUGUAACGGGCAUCCUUGCAUUCUCAAUGGAUCAAAGUGUAAACCUAAUAUUGAGAAUAUUUGUUUUCGUGGAUACUGAGCAGACUCAUGAUAUUUUUUUCAGACUUUUCAUUAUCUAGUUUUAAUGAUUUGUGAAUACAAACUCUUAAGACAACUUCUCUGAAUAAUUGAUUGCCUUGCAGCAACACUUACAACUUUAAUUUCCUCUUAAUGAUUUUGAACAUUGAGAAUUGUAUCGAGCAAGUUAACAAUAGAGGACAGCUGAAGUGCAGGGAGCACAGUAGCUGUACAACACUCACUUAAAAACGUUUUGUAGAGCCAAUGUUGUAGACAUUAUGCUUAUGCCCAUGUGAAAGAAAAAUGUAUGUAAACCCAUUAGCACAAAGACCGCUUCCCAUGUUUGGUGACCCACUUUCACGCUAAUGGGACAGUUUAAUUUUCUUUCCUUAGUGCCUUGGCUGCCUUUAUCAGUCUGACUGGUUUUAUUAUUUUUUGUUUGCUUUUCAGUAGAGAAGUAGUGGUUUUUUGUUUGUUUGUUUGUUUGUUUUUCUUUUCAUCAUGAAGAUGGGAAAACUGAUUUUUUCCACAAAUCACUUAUUUAGUAAUACAAAUUAAAAUGUUCACUUAAAAAUAAUCAUCAGCCAUUCUUGAAAGAAAGGUCAUCCUGAGUGGUCAUCUGCGCAUGAGUAACACAGCAGUAUGUUAAAUUCUUUUAAAAUAUUUUUCUCAAUAUAUUAAAAUACUAACAAUAACUAGAAAAUAAUAUAACUGGCACUUUUAUUUAUUUAUUUAUUUUUGCUGAGUUGUCUUUUUCCAAAUAGAAUGUGUACGGACUACCCAGACAAUGAUCUCACUGAAUUAGUGAUGUGUAGGAUAGAGAUGAACUUACGUUUAUGGUCAACUUAACCUCACUUUAAAUUGCAAAUAAUAAUAAUAAUGACCUUAGUUUUAUUCAUACUCAUAUAAAAGCAAUGCCUAUUAAUUUAAUGUAAUAAGUAUAAUUAAAUCUUAAUUACCAUUAAACCACUUUAUAUAUGUAUAAUUGAAUAGUGUAUGUAAAUAGUCAUGUAUUAAUACCAUAGAGCUAUAAUGGUAAAAAUACUUAUAAAACUAAUAUAGUAUUUAAUUGGCUUAGCUGAAAGUUUUAUGUAUCUAUUGUUCACAGGAUUGGUCUUUUCAGACACUAUCAUAUGGCUGUCUCGCUCUCUUUACAAGGAUAAAACAAAAGUUAAAAUGAUUAGUUUAAGUUAGAUAACACUUCAAUGAGACUUUAAAUAUUUAUCAAAUAUCUUGGCCCUAAGCAGUUGAGUUGAGUCAUAUGGGAAGUGAAAAUUUCUGAUCUGUGCCACAAUUUCCAUGCAGUAAGCUGGACUCAUAGAUAGAGUUAAGAUAAAGAGAACCAGAUAACGUAGCUUUCCUAUAUAGCUAAGAUAAAGUCAACCAGUUAAUGCUGCUUUCUUGUUUCAUCAGUAGUUUGAAACCUAAAGCUAUAUAGGAAGAGGCUAUAUAGGAAGCUAUAUAAAGAGCUCCUUAUAUAUAAGAAAAUAAAUUAUACUUGAAAUGUGAUGCCUAACGUGCUUUAAAACUACAGAAAACCUGCAGCAACAUAUUUACUAACAUAUAUUCUCCUAUCUAUCAUGGGAUAGACAUGACAAAGUUGGAUGAACAAAACCAGGCCAUUGAGCUGAUUGCUAAGAAACUCAUCUUUAUGGGAGUUUU
rnacentral:lncRNA from 1 species